CCCCCGUGGCCGCCAUGUUUCCUGAACACAAAAUGGCGACACGUGGCCUGGAUUCGUCGCUCAGGAGAAAUUGGGGUCGCCCGAAAGCUCUAGAACGCGCCGCCUCCUGUUUACUGGGACUUCCUUUCGACGCGAGUCCUUAAGAUCCCUCCUGUAGGCUGGUCCGAAACGUGGCGGAAGAAGUUUAAUCCCCCCUCCUUUAAUUUGAAAGGAGAAUGUGAAUAAUAGUAAAAUAGGAAGACACUUAAGCCCAGAGAAAUGAAGUGAGCCAUUCAAGGUCAUACAUUGUCCGGGAUGGAAUCGAGACCUUCUGAUUUCCUUACUGAUCUGGAUUAACUUUUGAAUUCCACAUUACCCAUUUUAUGGAUGAAGCUACUGAGAUAUGGAACAAUGGAUUGAACAGUCACCGCCCCAACCCUGGAAUCUCACACAGGACUCUUUCACUCAAAUGACCACAGACAGGGUCUUGCUAAGUUGCUGUGGCUGGCCUUGAACUUGUGAUCCUCCUGCCUCAACCUCCCGAGUUGCUGGAAUUAUAGCUUGAUUGCCCUGACCCUACAGAAUGUAAGUCCCAUGCUGCUGGAGACCAUCUUGUCACCCUAAGGAGAAUACUGCCCAAGAAUGAAGGCAACACAGAUGACAGCUGAGCUGUGAGAUGGCAAAAACUGGAGACCAGAUGGUGUCUUGAGUACCUGGAUGUAACCAUGUGUUAAAUUGGUGGAAUCCUGGGCGCUUAUUUUAUGUGGACCUAGACUUUCCCUUUUUUUUCCCCUUAUAGAAGUUUGAUUUGAAUCGUCACCUGCUGCCAGAGUGUCUUAAUUAAUCCAUGUCAUAAAUGGUAUAUCAUUCUCUUACAGA